GCUGUAGCUCAGUGGUAGAGCAUGUGCUUUGCAUGCAGAAGGUCUCAGGUUCAAUCCCUGCUGUCUCCU